CAGCAUUUCCUCUGUGCUAGGAUAUAAUAUGUGAUGAACUGUAACUAACUUUGUGAUACAGCACGACCAAUUUUUGAACUAAAUGAUAAGUGGUUCAGAUUCGGGAAAAAGAUUGGAUGCUUUGGUCACAAGGUGUUUGGAUAAAACAUCUGGCAUUCGGACAGGUCACAAGGUAUUUGGAUAAGACAUCUGGUGCUCUGAUGGGUCACAGGUUUUCGGAUAAAACAUCUGGUGUUUGGAUAAGUAGUUGCUUGGAUAAUACACAAGAAUGAAGGGGUACGAAUUGUUUACAUGCUAAAAGUAUGUUUUAUAUUAUCGCCGAGAAUAUAGGACAUGUUAGUUGAUACCUCUGCAAAGAAUGCACAGAAAUGAGCUGGUAAAAUCCUGACUAAAACGGGAAAGGCAGCAUUCUGAUCAACCACCAACCCAAGAACCUCAGGCAACAUCAGUUUAACUUGGCAAAACAAGUAGCCCCACAGUGUAUGUAACUUGAAUCAUGACCCAAGCGCAUAGCAUUGUCAGAUUUUAUACUAUCAGGUUGCUGCCCAUAUGGCACAUGCCCUAAAGUUUCAGAAAAAAUACAUGUUAAAAAAUAAAUGAACAAAAGAUUUCUUUUUCUUUCUUUUUUCUGCCAUUCAUACGAACUCCUAUUUCUAAUUUUUUUUUUUAUCUUCUUUUUCUCCUUUUUCAAUUUUCCUUCUCUUUUCAACUCUUUUCCCCAAUAAACACUAUCCAUCCAUUAUAUUUCACUUGAUAGAUAUCUAUCUUUGUUUCUGACUUUCAUUGGCAACAAAAUGAAGCUUAUGGUUCUGCAAUGGAAAUCUCUUCCAUGAUGAAUUUAAGUUGCCAGGGAAUUGAUCUUGACAGAGCAAACAAACCAAAGUUCACAACCUACCAAAACUAUUACAAAUAACUACAAAUCCACGAAUUUCUGUAACUUUCCUUUCCCAUACUUGAAUUUUACGGUGCAAUCAUUUUUUUGCAUGCACAAUCUAUUGUCGCCAGAAUUUGCGUACAUCAAAUCACCAGCAAACGGAAAUUGAACAGAGUGUUUGUAAAUUGUAAUCGAACAAUGCACCAACUCAACUAAAUCAUACUCAAUUAAAUCGGUCAGUGAAGUUGAGUUUUUCGUAUUCGGUGCAAAUAAAUAAUGUAAAAGCUCACAUCUUUUUCCACAAUUUUCUCAGCCACCAAACAGAUGGAAAAAAAAACAAAACAAAA